rnacentral:rRNA from 1 species
GACGAACGCUGGCGGCGUGCUUAACACAUGCAAGUCGAACGGAAAGGCCCUGCUUUUGUGGGGUGCUCGAGUGGCGAACGGGUGAGUAACACGUGAGUAACCUGCCCUUGACUUUGGGAUAACUUCAGGAAACUGGGGCUAAUACCGGAUAGGAGCUCCUGCUGCAUGGUGGGGGUUGGAAAGUUUCGGCGGUUGGGGAUGGACUCGCGGCUUAUCAGCUUGUUGGUGGGGUAGUGGCUUACCAAGGCUUUGACGGGUAGCCGGCCUGAGAGGGUGACCGGCGUCGGCGCGUCGGCGAGACGGCCCAGACUGUUGCGGGAGGCAGGGGGGGGGAGUAUUGCCGCCUGGGGGGAGUCGUGGGGCGUCACGGCGGCGUGGGGGAUGAGGGCCUUCGGUGUCUACGCCGUUUUCGCCUGUGCCGGAGGGUGGGUGGCGUUAAUGGGAAAAGACGCACCGGCAAACUCCGUGCAGCCAGCCGGGGUAAGGGUCGGAAGGGAUACGUCUGAUC